rnacentral:rRNA from 1 species
UACGAAGGGGGCUAGCGUUGUUCGGAAUUACUGGGCGUAAAGGGCGCGUAGGCGGCUCUUCAAGCCAGGCGUGAAAUCCCCGGGCUUAACCUGGGAAUUGCGCUUGAGACUGGCGAGCUUGAGUCCGGGAGAGGUGAGUGGAAUUCCCAGUGUAGAGGUGAAAUUCGUAGAUAUUGGGAAGAACACCAGUGGCGAAGGCGGCUCACUGGACCGGCACUGACGCUGAGGCGCGAAAGCGUGGGGAGCAAACAGG